rnacentral:rRNA from 1 species
GAUGAACGCUGGCGGCGUGCCUAAUACAUGCAAGUCGAGCGAAACCACCAGGUCCUUUCUCCUCUGACUUUGUCACCGGUCGGAUGCUUAACUUGUGUUUAACCUACCUCUCCGACUGGGAUGCCUUCAGCGAACCGUAUCUUCUACCCAAUAAUAUAUUGCACCUCGUUGUUCCCUAGUUAGAUUCGCUUUUUCUUUCACUAAUAGCUUACUACGCGCCGCAUUCGCUAGUUGGUAAGGUAACGGAUUACCAAGGCUACGAUGCGUAGACGGCCUGAGAGGGUGAUCGGCCACACUGGAACUGAGACACGGUCCAGACUCCUAAGGGAGGCAGCAGUAGGGAAUCUUCCGCAAUGGGCGAAAGGGUGACGGAGAAACGACGCGUGAGGGAUGAAGGUCUUCGGAUCGGAAAACUCUGUUAUGAGGGAAGAACAAAUGUGUAAGUAACUAGGCACGUCUUGACGGUACCUAAGCAGAAAGCCACGGCUAACUACGUG